AUAAAGUCUAUUGGAUUGAAUUUUCAGACAUUCAUAUUUUCCGGAAAUAAUCUGGACUUAUCCGUAUUUUCACUACCGUUUACUUUCUCUUCCUCACCUGUCUAUUGCAAAUGGAUGCCACGACAAAUCUGCUCCUGUGGAUAUUGUGACAAAUCACCGUCAAGUACGUUUCAAAUCGAUUAUAAACUGUUAAAUAUAUAUACCGUUAAUUCCGUUAACUUGAAUUCCACGUUUAUUCAACAAAUACGAACUGUAAUUGUUUAUUUCUAUGAAUUGAACCUGAGAAUUCUACUUUCGUUUUUGACUUGAUAUUAUUAUUGCAUUGAACAUUCAUAUAUUUCUUUCGUACAUAUUGUAAAAUAUUGUAUUUUUAUUUCUUUCAGUUUACCAAACAAUACACGCUCUGUAAAAACUCCUGUGUCAUUUCUGGUGGAAUUAUAAUCUACAAUCUUCAAACACAAGUUGUUAUUCUUUAUAAUUUGCCGAGAUUGCGAUACAGUCCCAUGGUUAUACUAGCUGAGUCAGGCUCAGCAUAGUAAAUUGACGACAACCUGUCUUUACAUAUCCAGACAAGGAACGACAACGUAGCAACGUACAUACGUACAUACCUUUACAC
rnacentral:lncRNA from 1 species